GGAAGAAGAGAGGGGUCUUGAGUCCAUGACUGCUGAAACUUUGAUGAUCCCAGGCUAAAGGUGAAAUUGUGAAGGGAUAGGAGAUCAGAUGGCAUCUUUCCAGAGUCUUCAGGGACAGCUCCACACAGAGCAUGAUCUGCAGUUUUCAAAACUCAAGGUUACAGGCAUGAAUGCAGCUGCUGAAUAUUCUGAAGAAUGUCAAAGCCUUCUUAACAGAUCCUGUAUCACACCCUGUAAAGGCCUGGAAAAGGGGAAGCAAAUCAGUCAUACCUGCAGG